GAGAAGUCCACUAAACCUUAUCAUUUAGAGGAAGGAGAAGUCGUAACAAGGUUUCCGUAGGUGAACCCGCGGAAGGAUCAUUG
rnacentral:rRNA from 1 species